rnacentral:rRNA from 1 species
AUACGGAGGCUGCAAGCGUUGUCCGGAUUUAUUGGGUUUAAAGAGUGCGUAGGUGGUUUUUUAAGUCAGUGGUGAAAGCAUACAGCUUAACUGUAGAGGUGCCAUUGAUACUGGGGAACUUGAGUAUGGACGAGGUAGGCGGAAUUUGUGGUGUAGCGGUGAAAUGCAUAGAUACCACAAGGAACACCGAUAGCGAAGGCAGCUUACUGAGCCAUAACUGACACUGAGGCACGAAAGCGUGGGGAGCGAACAGGAUUAGAAACCCUAGUAGUCC